rnacentral:rRNA from 1 species
CGGUCCCAUCCCGAACCCGGAAGCUAAGCCCUCCAGCGCCGAUGGUACUGCACUCGCCAGGGUGUGGGAGAGUAGGUCGCCGCCGACA